UACGGGGGGAGCAAGCGUUGUUCGGAUUUACUGGGCGUAAAGGGCGCGUAGGCGGCCACCGCAAGUCGACUGUGAAAUCUCCGAGCUUAACUCGGAAAGGUCAACUGAUACUGUGCGGCUAGAGUGCGGAAGGGGCAACUGGAAUUCUUGGUGUAGCGGUGAAAUGCGUAGAUAUCAAGAGGAACACCUGCGGCGAAGGCGGGUUGCUGGGCCGACACUGACGCUGAGGCGCGAAAGCCAGGGGAGCGAACGGG
rnacentral:rRNA from 1 species